rnacentral:rRNA from 1 species
GAUGAACGCUGGCGGCGUGCCUAAUACAUGCAAGUCGAGCGGAAGGACGAGAAGCUUGCUUCUCUGAUGUUAGCGGCGGACGGGUGAGUAACACGUGGAUAACCUACCUAUAAGACUGGGAUAACUUCGGGAAACCGGAGAUAAUACCGGAUAAUAUUUUGAACCGCAUGGUUCAAAAGUGAAAGACGGUCUUGCUGUCACUUAUAGAUGGAUCCGAGCUGCAUUAGCUAGUUGGUAAGGUAACGGCUUACCAAGGCAACGAUGCAUAGCCGACCUGAGAGGGUGAUCGGCCACACUGGAACUGAGACACGGUCCAGACUCCUACGGGAGGCAGCAGUAUGGAAUCUUCCGCAAUAGGCGAAAGCCUGACGGAGCAACGCCGCGUGAGUGAUGAAGAUCUUCCGAUCGUAAAACUCUGUUAUUAGUGAUGAACAUAUGUGUAAGUAACUGUGCACAUCGUGACGGUACCUAAUCAGAAAGCCACGGCUAACUACGUG